AAUAUUACACAAUGGGCGAAAGCCUGAUGCAGCAACGCCGCGUGAGUGAUGAAGGCCCNCGGGUCNGNAAGCUCUUUGAUCAGGGNAGAUAAUUACAGUACCUGAAAAACAAGCCACGGCUAACUACGGGCCAGCAGCCGCGGUAAUACGUAGGUGGCGAGCGUUGUCCGGAAUUACUGGGCGUAAAGGAUGCGUAGGUGGAUACUUAAGUGGGAUGUUAAAUCCCCGGGCUCAACCCAGGAACUGCCUUCCAAACUGGGUACCUAGAGUGCAGGAGAGGAAAGCGGAAUUCCUAGUGUAGCGGUGAAAUGCGUAGCUAUUAGGAGGAACACCAGUGGCGAAGGCGGCUUUCUGGACUGUAACUGACACUGAGGCAUGAAAGCGUGGGUAGCAAACAGG
rnacentral:rRNA from 1 species